UACGAAGGGGGCUAGCGUUGUCCGGAAUCAUUGGGCGUAAAGAGCGUGUAGGCGGUCCGGUAAGUCCGCUGUGAAAGUCGGGGGCUCAACCCUCGAAUGCCGGUGGAUACUGUCGGGCUAGAGUGCGGAAGAGGCGAGUGGAAUUCCUGGUGUAGCGGUGAAAUGCGCAGAUAUCAGGAGGAACACCUAUUGCGAAGGCAGCUCGCUGGGACGUAACUGACGCUGAGACGCGAAAGCGUGGGGAGCAGACAGG
rnacentral:rRNA from 1 species